rnacentral:rRNA from 1 species
GAUGAACGCUGGCGGCGUGCCUAAUACAUGCAAGUCGAGCGAACAGACGAGGAGCUUGCUCCUCUGAUGUUAGCGGCGGACGGGUGAGUAACACGUCGAUAACCUACCUAUAAGACUGGGAUAACUUCGGGAAACCGGAGCUAAUACCGGAUAACAUGUUGAACCGCAUGGUUCAACAGUGAAAGACGGUCUUGCUGUCACUUAUAGAUGGAUCCGCGCCGCAUUAGCUAGUUGGUAAGGUAACGGCUUACCAAGGCAACGAUGCGUAGCCGACCUGAGAGGGUGAUCGGCCACACUGGAACUGAGACACGGUCCAGACUCCUACGGGAGGCAGCAGUAGGGAAUCUUCCGCAAUGGGCGAAAGCCUGACGGAGCAACGCCGCGUGAGUGAAGAAGGUCUUCGGAUCGUAAAACUCUGUUAUUAGGGAAGAACAAAUGUGUAAGUAACUAUGCACGUCUUGACGGUACCUAAUCAGAAAGCCACGGCUAACUACGUG